UGGGGAAUUUUGGACAAUGGGCGAAAGCCUGAUCCAGCAAUGCCGCGUGUGUGAAGAAGGCCUUCGGGUUGUAAAGCACUUUUGUCCGGAAAGAAAUCCUUGGCUCUAAUACAGUCGGGGGAUGACGGUACCGGAAGAAUAAGCACCGGCUAACUACGUGCCAGCAGCCGCGGUAAUACGUAGGGUGCAAGCGUUAAUCGGAAUUACUGGGCGUAAAGCGUGCGCAGGCGGUUUGCUAAGACCGAUGUGAAAUCCCCGGGCUCAACCUGGGAACUGCAUUGGUGACUGGCAGGCUAGAGUAUGGCAGAGGGGGGUAGAAUUCCACGUGUAGCAGUGAAAUGCGUAGAGAUGUGGAGGAAUACCGAUGGCGAAGGCAGCCCCCUGGGCAAUCAGACU
rnacentral:rRNA from 1 species